rnacentral:lncRNA from 1 species
AGAAAUAGAUGUUUUCUGUUUGUAUCAUAAGCAUUUAUAGAAAAUUAUUCUAAAGCUUAAUGGUUUGCUAUAAUUCUCAAAUACUACCACUAGCUUAUAAAUCACUUUUAUGUGGACACACACAUGCCUAUUGAAUUUAAAAAGGAAUGAGAUUUAAAAAUUAAGUGCAUAUAUAUAAUAUACAUAUAUAUAUAUAUAUAUAUAUAUUUUUUUUUUUUUUUUUUUGGGACAGAGUGAGACUCCAUCUCCUAACAGUAAAAAAAAAGGAAAGAUACCACAUUUUUAACCAAAAUGUACUUUAUACAUAUUACUGAUGCCUUAUACAACGUAUGGGACCAAUGGGAACUCCUGGAAGUUAUCCAAGUUCAUUUCAAGGCACUAUGGCCACUGAGUUUUCAAGGCCAGCAUAACAUAUCUCUGUCAGAGGGCAUUAAUAAGCUGUAAGUGCACCGUGUAAUUAGGCUAAUUAAAUGUACUACAAGCAUUUUUCAAAUAUUAGCAAUAGACCACUCCUCAGCUCUUAAUAAGUCUUCUCUGGAGUCUUCCUUUUCCUGAUGGCAUUACUUUUACUGAGUGUUCAGUUUCUCAGAAGCCUUCAGAAGCUAGUUUGAUUUUUAAAUCCUGUUGUUUUUACUAGUGAAAAUGUUCUGAAUUAAAACAUUGUGAAAUGCUGUUAGGUAUACUGGCAUUUAACAUUAUGGAUCACAAUGAAAUAAGAAACAACAAAAACAGGUAACAAUACAGUUGAGCUCACCAAAACCUUACCUGCUGUGGGGAAAGAAUACUGCCCCAUGAAUCUUUCACACGUUUCUCUAUUAUACACUUAUCAAAGCUGUAAGACCAAAAUCUCUUAGAAAUCUUUAAAAGGCACAGUUAAGCAAGCCAAUGUUGUGUGGGCAUAAGAGACUAGUGAUGAAUGAUCAAUUGAUGAAUAGUUUUCUAAAUGUGUUUUUCGCAAGCAUUUUUAAAUCACAUGUUAGACGUAAGCUUUUUUAAAAGCAUUGUGGAAAUCACAGCAACAUGGCUUUCUUGUUUGAUUUUAUUAGGCAAAAACGAUGGAUGGUUUGAUAUUCUCUUAGAAAGGCUGACAGCUACUAUAUAGAACCACUCAGGAACAAUAAUGAUAGGUAUCAACGAUACUGAUUAGAUGAAAAAUUCAUUUAUGUUUUUCUGCUGAAUAUCAAUCUUAAUAAAUAGAUGGCUUUUAAACCAAAA